rnacentral:misc_RNA from 1 species
GUGGUGUUUGGAUCGUCCCUGCCGGCUGGCUCCGUGCCCGUCCACCGAACGGUCGGCAGGCGAUCCGCGUCGGUCGUGCGAGGGUGGUAUGGUUCCCCCAGAGGCCGGUUCUUGUGCUGCCUACCCCUUCCGGGGAAUCGGGCCACUUGAUGUAAGCCUCCGUCCGGCGCCUUCCAACGGGCGCAGGAGGACAACAGGGCACCCCCCGCGUUCCACCGUGCCUCCUCGGUCGCGUGGCCCGCGGGGACGUGCGACGCUCUCGGACCCAGCGAACGCCGUGGGCGAGGACUCACGUCCCAGUCCCGAAAAGAAGCUCCGAUAUAAUGCAGACGGCCGCUCCCGCCCCCCCAGGGGCGAGGCGCGGCGUCGCAGAGGAAUGCUACCU